rnacentral:lncRNA from 1 species
GUCACUGUUCAGAGCCUGACAGGCCAAAAGAGAUGGUAAAAUGGAAAGAUGUUUUGACUGGUCUCUGGAAAGGCCCGGAUCCUAUAUUAAUAAGAUCCAGGGGAGCUGUUUGUGUUUUCCCACAGGAAGAAGACAACCCAUUCUGGCUGCCGGAACGACUGACGUGAAGAAUUCUGACACCUGAAGAUGACUCCCGGAUGGAUCCCUUGGAAACUACCUCUAGUCCUCUUGCUACCUCUGUGGAUUUGGGUUCCUAGUAUAUUUGGAGAAUAUAGAUGGGCAAUUCUGUCUGCUUUCCCUAAGCCCAUGCCUGUUCGUCAUAAUACAGCUGUUUUUCCCAAGUUUUUUACGACCAAUAAAACUUUAGGCCUACCAUACCUACCAUUUGACCUUAUCUGGGCACCACUGGGAGAAAAACGCUCUAUAAGGGAACGAGGUUCUCUCUGUUUCCAAAUUUAUGAAUUGGGAGAUUGUAUCAGACUCACCUGCCGAGCUUUGGGAAUGUUUAUUAAGUAUGGAGGAGGCUUGGUGAAAAUAACCCAAGACACUUCCAACAGAGAUAUAACCUUUACAAAUCAGACCUUCUGGCAGGAGGCAAUUUGGGUUAAUGGUACAUUUCUACCACCUAACUUUUCAGACAAAGAAUGCCCCAAUCAACCAAAAAUGGCUCCUCAUUGUAGCUUGGAAGAUGAAGGGCUGAUCCUGCCUUGGUCUGAUUGUCAAUCCUCCGUCACUCGUUGGGCAGAUCAGAGUAAAACCUUUUCCUUUUCUCCCAACAUGAUGGAUGACCCAGAGGAGAAAUUUGUUAUGAAAAAGGGACUUUUCGUACAGGACUUUAGAAUGCAUCCUUUUCACAAAUGGGUACUUUGUGGGAUUAAUGGUAGCUGUACAGAUCUUAAUCCCUUGGUUUUCCUCCAAGGAGGAGCUGCUGAAAAAGCGAUUUUUAAUGGUAUUUCAAAAUUUGCUCAGUUUCAUCAAGUUCUGUUACCUGAUAGAACCAUUUAUCAAAAUUCUACUACUGAAAUCACUGGAUUUAAUAAGACCCUGAUAAAGCAGACUAAUUAUUCACCUACUCCAGUUUGUGUGUACACUCCUUUCUUGUUUAUUCUUUCUAAAGGUUUCUUUGAAUCCUGUACUAAUGAAACCUGCUGGAU